rnacentral:other from 1 species
AUAUAUCUGCGGUGUGCGUUAUUCUGAGUAAUUCAACCGACAUAAUAACUACGGGAGUUCGAGUUCAAUGGUGUAGAGCAGGCCUUCAUGGUAAAGGAAGCUUCAAGUUAUUGACAGGACACCCACCUUGCGAGAGGCGGGUGUGAAUUAAUUGGAAGACGGCAUCGCGGUUAUGCG